ACGGAGGCCCUGCUGGUUCACUCAGUUCAGUUAACAUGGAGGCCUGCAGACGGUGCGUUCACUGCGCCCUCGUCGCGUCUCUGCUCCUGGGUUCGUCGCUCCAGCAGGACACGGGUGAGAGCAGAUGUUUGUAAGGCGGAGUCUGGGCUGUUUCUAUUCUCUGCAGCUGAGGAGGGAAGUGUGACGGUUUCACCCGUCGUGUUCCCGCAGCCGUGGUUUGAAGGAGUCCGAACCGCACGCUUAAUUAGCCCGUGUCCCGUGUGUUUAGUGGCAGCGGACGUCAGCGGCCGCCAGCUGGAGCGCCUGGUCGAGCUGCUGACGUCUAAGGAGUGCGAGGACCUCCUGUUCGCCCUGUCUCACCCGGAGGAGGACGUCUUCCAGCAGCUCGAGCGCCUCUCGGCCCAGCAGAACCCGCUCGGCCUCGCGGCCCGGUCCAAGAGGGACGCCGCGUCCGCCGAGGAUAGCGGCGCUCGGUGCCGCGCGGCCCUGACGGACUGGCUGCUGGAGAACGGCGCGCGGACCUACUACGACCGGCUCGCCCGCGCCCUGCAGCGCGUCGGCAGGACCGACGUCGCCAUCGAAGUCGGGAAGAACAUCAACCAGGACAUGGCCUUAAACAUAAAACACUACGUUGAAGAUUAUCACAAAUUCGUGAGCUCUUUGAACGUCCCAUCAGUCGAGUCAGACGCCAACGACCACCAGCAACGAGACCCGAGGGUCAGAAGGAGAAGAGUAAGGGACCUGACCUGGCGGGACCUGGACCUGAUUGUGGAGCGGGCCCCCGUGCCCCCGUACCAGAAGGGGCCCAUGGACGUGGUUCUGCCGCUGCUGCACGGCCUCCUGCUGGGCUUCGGAGGCACCUUCCUCGCGAGCGUCUCCAUCCUCCUCAUCCUCGCCCACGUGUCCCGCAGAGGGACGCGUGGACCCCCCGGGGUCACCGCCGGCUCCGGCUGCGAGCGGAUGGUUGGAGAUGCGGGCGACGGGGCGGCUCACGCGCCCUCGCACGCGCCUGUGUAAAUAAAGACGGCUCAUUUGCAUCUCACGUCACUCUGGGUUUUUUUUGCAGAUACAUCUGUUUUGUGACAGAUGUGAAAUCUCCCCGUCUCCGUCCACAGGAGCAGAACCAACGCGGUAGCGAGGCGGAAACCAGACCAUAACUAAUUGUGACAAACCUGAGCACAAUCCAGCCAUUUUCCACGCGCUUGUGUCCACGCCUCUGCUGUAAAGCGGGACCGACUGUUUCUGGUCCGUCGGUGCCUCGUCGCGCGACAGAUGCGCUGGAAUCGGGCCCUCGCGCCAAAGGUUGUUGUGGUGUUACAGUGAUAGCGAUGCCCCCCCCCCCCCCCCUCCUCCUCCUCCUCUAAGUGACGGCACCGUGCCCGCCUGGCAUCGAACAACAGCUAAUUAUCCAGGACUAAUAACCACGAGGCCGCUAGCAGACAAUGGAGCGCCCGGUCGCCACGGUAACAGACGACGCGUACGAAGUCUGGAGGACGCCGCUGAAACCGCCCGAUACCUGAUGAAGAGGGGCCGUGCAAAUAAAUAAAAAUGUCCACGUCA
ensembl:lncRNA uncharacterized protein C12orf81-like